CCUACGGGAGACAGCAGUGGGGAAUAUUGGGCAAUGGAGGCAACUCUGACCCAGCAACGCCGCGUGAAUGAUGAAGGUCUUCGGAUUGUAAAGUUCUGUGAUGGGGGAUGAACACAAUGACGGUACCCCAAUAGCAAGCCACGGCUAACUACGUGCCAGCAGCCGCGGUAAUACGUAGGUGGCAAGCGUUAUCCGGAAUGACUGGGCGUAAAGGGUGCGUAGGUGGUUUAGUAAGUUGGCGGUGUAAUUCCGGGGCUCAACCUCGGCGCUACCGCCAAAACUAUUAGGCUAGAGUGCAGGAGGGGUAAGUGGAAUUCCUAGUGUAGCGGUGGAAUGCGUAGAUAUAAGGAAGAACACCAGUGGCGAAGGCGGAUGACUGGACGGCAACUGACGGUGAGGCGCGAAAGCGUGGGGAGCAAACAGGAUUAGAUACCCCAGUAGUC
rnacentral:rRNA from 1 species